rnacentral:rRNA from 1 species
AUGUUUGCAUAUCUUACAUAUUGCCCUGGCAAAUGCGAACUGUCAUUGUCACAUAUUCAUAUGGUAUUUGGAGUUGCUCCUAUUGUAAGCAGUCGUGUUGGAACAGUAGCUGAUUUUGUUUUCGCAGAGCAGAGUAGCUGUAUUGUUGAUAUAGAUAUAACAGAAUUGUCUCCCUGUGUUUAUUUUACCCUUAUGGUAUUCGCUCUACACUGUUUAUGUCUAUUGACACAUGGAAGGCGAAAAACACACUCCAUUUCCUAUUCUUGUUUUCCUUUUCUUUGUAUGAUGAUCCAAACAUUUCUUAUCAUCUGA